rnacentral:rRNA from 1 species
AGAAUCAACGCUGGCGGCGUGCCUCAGACAUGCAAGUCGAACGAUUAAAGCUCCCUUCGGGGAGUGCAUAAAGUGGCGCACGGGUGAGUAACACGUAAGUAAUCUACCCUCGGGUGGGGAAUAACGUUCGGAAACGGACGCUAAUACCGCAUAAUGCAGCGGCACCGCAAGGUGACAGUUGUUAAAGAUUUAUUGCCUGGGGAGGAGCUUGCGGCAGAUUAGCUUGUUGGUAAGGUAACGGCUUACCAAGGCUACGAUCUGUAUCCGGUCUAAGAGGACGGUCGGACACACUGACACUGAAUAACGGGUCAGACUCCUACGGGAGGCAGCAGUCGGAAUUUGGGCAAUGGGGGAAACCUGACCAGCAACGCCGCGUGAAGGAUGAAGUAUUCGGUAUGUAAACUUCGAAAGAAUAGGAAGAAUUAAUGACGGUACUAUUUAUAAGGUCCGGCUAACUACGUGCCAGCAGCCGC